AGUGAACGCUGGCGGCGUGCCUAAUACAUGCAAGUCGAACGGAGUGGCGCACGGGUGAGUCAUGUAUAGCUAAUCUGCCCUCCACUAGCGGACAACAGUUGGACACGACUGCUAAUACUCUAUAGUGUAGGAUGAGGCUCUCUUGUCUCAGCUAGUUGGUGAGGUAAUGGCACACCAAGGCUAUGACGCAUAACUGGUCUGAGAGAAUGAUCAGUAACACUGGAACUGAGACACGGUCCAGACUCCGACGGUAGGCAGCAGGAGUGAAGAUGGCUCAAUGGGGGAAACCUGGAGGCAGCAACGCCGCGGGGAGGAUGACACUGUGUGGAGCGUAAACUCCUUUUGUUAGGGAAGCGGUACCGAACGAAUAAGCACCGGCUAACUCCGUGCCAGCAGCCGCGGUAAUAC
rnacentral:rRNA from 1 species